rnacentral:tRNA from 1 species
UAGAUUGAAGCCAGUGUAGGGUAUUUAGCUGUUAACUAAAAUUUCGUAGGUUUAAGUCCUAUCAAUCUAG